AAUCCUAUAUUCCUAUGGUAUUGAGUCUAUCAUAAACGAAUAUAAUAGGGUAUUCAACUAAGCAAGAUUAUUAGGUAUAUUCAUAUCCUAACCGCGAAAUCUUUCCCCGAGCCACGGGUUCAGAAACAUGCUCUCUCUAAUUCUAUUCUAAUCUAAACACUGCUUUCCAAAACAUAGUGUCACGACCCCAAAUUCACUAGUCGUGUGACACCUAACCCAACUCGCUAGGUAAGCCAACUAGUAACUAUCCAAUUUUAAUGAUAUUAACAAGACAAAUAAACGAUAGUAAUUUAUUGAAUUUUAUACAUUUCCCAAGGACUGGUAGUACAAAUCAUGAGCUUCUAAUAAUAGAAUUUACAAAGAUGAAAUGAAAUAAAUACAUCGUCUGUUUGAAAAGUACAUAAAUAGAGUUUUAUUGAUCUAAAGCUACCACAAACAAGGGGCAGCUACAACCGGGAUGCAGGUACAUCUUCAAUCCAGCUCCCAUCGAACACAGCAACAUCAGCGACCAAUAUCUGCACGCAAGGUACAAACGUGUAGUAUGAGUACAACCGACCCCAUAUACUCAGUAAGUAACAAACCUAACCUUAGGUUGAAAGUAGUGACGAGCUAACACAAGGUCGUGUCCAAUACCAAUAUCCCACAAUAGUUCAUAACAGCAUAAUACAAGUAAUAAGAGAUUAUAUCAGAAAUAAAAUGCUCAACUCGUUCACAGUUUCAGAAAAUAGUCAUGAUUUUCAAGUAUCUUAGUAAAAACCCAAAUCUUUUACCGAAAAUGCCAAAUAUACGAGUAAGUUUGAAAACUGUAAUUUUGUUUCCAAAUAUCCUUUCCAUAAUAAAUAAGUUGUUUCAUUUUCUUUCCAGAUAGCAAGUGUAAAAUACCUCUCUAUGCCCACAUAUCAAUGUGUGUAAAAAGUCAUGAAUGAUACCGUACAUCGUGAGAAAAAAUGCAUCUCUAUGUCUGUAUGUCAUGUGUGCAUGCCAAUGGCAUGUAUCUCAGAGAUGAAUCAUGUACUCACACUCUUAGAGUACUCAAUCUCACUAUCUCGCAUCUGCUAUCACUAUGCUCAAUGUUCAGCACACUCAAUCCCUCAGCGUUGUACAAUACUCGUUGCGGCAUGCAGCCCGAUUCAUAUAUUUAUAGUCGACUGCGCUCACUGGGGGUGUGCAGAUUCCAGAAGGGCUCCUACAGCCCAAGCGCUAUAAUACGCACGGACAACUCACGUGUCAAAAUAUCAAUAUCUGGAUCCACACGGAUAACUCAUGUGCUGCACGGAUAACUCACGUGCUAUAGUAUCAAUAUAUGGAUCCGCACAGACAACUCACGUACUGCACGGACAACUCACGUGCUAUAGUAUCAAUAUCCUCACAAACAAGCCCCUGGGCUCACUCAGUCAUCAAUCUUUCCAGUCGCACUCACGGGCUCAAAAUGUCAUGAAACUAGCCCGACAACAAUGAUAUGAUGUAUAAAUAAAUAACAACUAAGACUGAGAUAUGAUAUGAAUGCAUGAAUAUGACUGAGUAUGAUAUAUCAAUGAAAUCAGUGAGAUGACAGCAAGAAACAACCACUAUGGGUCCUAACAAUAUCAGCAUAAAGCCUAAACAUGAUAUUUAGCAUGAUUGACAGCUCAUUUACUUUAUCACAUGGUAAUAACACAGAUAUCAACAAAAAUAGGGCCACUAUAUAGUGCCAAAGAAACAACGGAGUCACAAUUCACAUGGUGCACGCCCACACACCCGUCACCUAGCAUGUGCGUCACCUCAAUACCAAUCACAUAACACGUAAUUCGGGAUUUCGUACCCUCAGCACUACAAAUGAAAAAGGUCGAAUCUUUAAUCAAAAACUAAAAAUCGGCCAAAAUGUCCAACCCAGGUCCGCACCUCAGAACCCAACAAAACUCAUAAAAUCCGACAAUCCAUUCAGUUAUGAGUCCAACCAUACUAGUUUCACUCAAAUCUGACUUCGAAUCGAUGUUCAAAACUCAAAAUUCACAUUAUGAAACUUUAGGCCAAAACCCCCAAUUUCCUCUUUGAAAAUCACAAUCCAAUUACAAAAAAUAAAGAUAGAUUCAUGAAAUAUAACCAAACCCGAGUAGAGAACACUUACCCCAAUUCAUAUGGUGAAAAUUACUUCAAGAAUCGCCUCAAUCCGAGCUCCAUAGGUCCCAAAAUAUAAAAAUGGCUGAAACCCUCGAAAUAGAGUACUUUAUACUUCUGCCGAGGCAUCCUCUUACGCGAACACGGUAGAAGCCUCGCAUUCACGAAGCAGAAAUCCACACUGCCUCACUUUGCACUACGCGUUCGCGGCAAAACCCUCACGAACGUGAUGAAACACACUACCAAACUUCUGCGAUCGUGGACAACUCACUGCGAACGCGAUGAAGAAUCCAUAUAGACUUACCAAUCCCCGCUCAACACUACGCGAACGCAUAGCCAUGGAUGCUAACGCGAAGACUACAAUUUUCAAACCAGUGCUAACGCGACCUCAGAAGCGCGAACGCGAAGAACAUAUAGCUCCACUUACCAAACAUCUUUCGCAAUCGCGGCCACGCCUUCGCGAUCGCGAAGAACGUCAGAAGCAUUAGGUAACAGCAGAAAAAUCAACAAUGCAAAAACCAUUUAAAAUUAUCCGAACUACGUCCAAAACUCACCCGAACCCCUCGGGACCCUGUCCAAAUGUACCAAGAAGUCCCAUAAUAUAAUACAGACCUACUUGAGGCCUCAAUCACACAUAACAACAUCAACAUGACGAAUCGCACCUCAAAUCGAAAUCUAUGAACUUUGAAACUUCAAACUUCCACAAUGGAUACCGAAACCUAUCAAAUCACGUCCGUUUGACCUCAAAUUUUGCACACAAGUCACAUUUGACAUUAUGGACCUGCUCCAACUUUUGAAAUCGGAAUCUAACCCUGAUAUCAAAAAGUCCACUCCCGGACAAAUUUUCUAAAAUUUCAACUUUGGCCAUUUCGAGCCAAAUUCAACCACGGACCUCCAAAUCACAAUCCGGACGCGCUCCCAAGUCCAAAAUUAUCCAAUAGAGCUAACGGAACAAUCAAAAUUCCAAUCCGAGGUCAAAUGUUAAAAAGUCAAACUUGGUCAACUCUUUCAAAUUUAAAGCUCCCUAGUUGAGAAUCAUUCUUUCAAAUCAGUCCCGAAUAACAUGAAAAUCAAAACCGACGAUUCACAUAAGUUAUAAUACAUCAUACGGAGCUACUCGUGCCCGUAAACUACCGAGCGAAGUGCAAAUAUUCAAAACGACCGGUUGGGUCAUUACACAUAAUAUAGAUAGUAAAUAGAACUCAAUUGAUGGCCAAACAAUUAAGCAAUUAUGUACAGAAUUAGAGAAACAACCAACAAUGAUAACUGGAAUUAACGGUGAUGUAAUUAAUAAAUUUCAAUAUUCAUGAAAAUCACAACCCUAAAACGCGAAAUUUAGCUCCACAUAGACACGGUAGUAAAACAACAAUUAAUCCAAAGAAACGUAAAGAUUAAUAAGUUUGAUAGAAGAAAGAUGGAAUCUGAUAAAUUUUGGCCUCCACGGCGGCUCCAUGCUCUCCCUUGGUCCAAAGUAUGUUCGAUCCCCCCCACUAAAAUAGGUUUAGAACCCCUUUUAUAUAUGUUGGGGACGUGUAGGGUUGAAAUCCCCAAGUCCCAGUCGAAUUAGGACAAAAUCCGUCCUUUGGCAUCUCGGUUGACGCCUGGCGCCAACCUGGAUAACAAACCUUUUCCACUUCUGUCAAUGGCGUUUUGGUUGGUGCCUGGCACCAAACUUAUACUUCCUCCAAAUUCUUCCAUUUUGACGUCCAUUUGCAUUAAAAACUUUUCAAAUCACUUCCGAUUGACUCUUACACAUAUAAAUAACAUUAUUAAGCUCGAGUCACAAAUAUUCACAUAAAAAUUAACAAGAUCGAGGUAUAAUGCAAGGCUAAUUACAUGCAAAAAUAUGGAUUUUUAGCCAAACAUCAGAAAAUUUCCAAGGAGUUUGCUCACUUAUUUUCGACUCCUUCACAGGUACAAGUACUUAUUUUUUCUUUGUUUUCACAUUCAAGAUUUGUAUGUCCAUAUAGAAUAACCAAGUGAAAUAACACAUAUUUUGGAAGCUGA
rnacentral:lncRNA from 1 species